UACGUAGGUGGCAAGCGUUGUCCGGAAUUAUUGGGCGUAAAGCGCGCGCAGGCGGUCCCUUAAGUCUGAUGUGAAAGCCCACGGCUCAACCGUGGAGGGUCAUUGGAAACUGGGGGACUUGAGUACAGAAGAGGAAAGCGGAAUUCCACGUGUAGCGGUGAAAUGCGUAGAUAUCGGGAGGAACACCAGUGGCGAAGGCGACUUCCUGGCCUGUUCUUGACGCUGAGGCGCGAAAGCUAGGGGAGCAAACGGG
rnacentral:rRNA from 1 species